GAUGAACGCUGGCGGCGUGCCUAAUACAUGCAAGUCGAGCGAACAGACGAGGAGCUUGCUCCUUCGACGUUAGCGGCGGACGGGUGAGUAACACGUAGGUAACCUACCUAUAAGACUGGGAUAACUUCGGGAAACCGGAGCUAAUACCGGAUAAUAUUUCGAACCGCAUGGUUCGAUAGUGAAAGAUGGCUUUGCUAUCACUUAUAGAUGGACCUGCGCCGUAUUAGCUAGUUGGUAAGGUAACGGCUUACCAAGGCAACGAUACGUAGCCGACCUGAGAGGGUGAUCGGCCACACUGGAACUGAGACACGGUCCAGACUCCUACGGGAGGCAGCAGUAGGGAAUCUUGCGCAAUGGGCGAAAGCCUGACGGAGCAACGCCGCGUGAGGGAUGAAGGUCUUCGGAUCGUAAAACUCUGUUAUUAGGGAAGAACAAGCGUGUAAGUAACUGUGCACGUCUUGACGGUACCUAAUCAGAAAGCCACGGCUAACUACGUG
rnacentral:rRNA from 1 species